CAUCAGGUACAUAUUCAAAGAGAAACAUUUGAGAGCUAUUUCCCAACCCCUAGUGAGAAAGAGCCCGUAGUGUGCAUGGCUUAUUAUCAGCAAAUACUCUACCCUGGGGCUGAGCCCGCAGCUCAGGCUCCGAGAAUCAGAUAAAAACUAGAGUUCCUGUAUUGUUGAAUAUUCCAGAAAAGGAGUAUCUCCUUUCAAAAACAAGCCAAUACUAGUUUACUGAGGUUUUAACAUUCUCAACAAACAAAACAAGCAGAAAAGGCCAACAUAUGGGUCCGUCUCAGGCUGCCCCCUGCCCAGGCCAGGGGACUUCUCACUCUACUUAGAAGAGUGGGCUUUCUAUGGAGGUCAGUGCAGUCCCAGCAGCUACAGGACAGAUUCCACUGGGGUCAGCUAGGCCUUGUAAAGAAGCACAGUGACAUUUAUUGUCCAGCAGACACAGUGCUUCACAGGUGGGGAGGCUGCCUCUGCCUGUGCUCCCAGCAAAAAGCCCACAAGGCCUUCUGCAGAAUGACAGACAGCAAGGGAACUGUCUCCCCCAUCCAAUUUAAACCCUUUAAAAAACAC
rnacentral:lncRNA from 1 species